GCAUGGCUUGACAAGCGGUGCCAUGUCCACACCCGGGAUCCGAACCUGCGAACCCUGGGCCACCAAAGCAGAGCAAGUGAACUUAAGCAUUACACCACCAGACAAAAAAGAAAAUUGCUUUGAUGGAGUCCAAUUGCUAAGUGGCAGAUUACAGCUUUUCUAUAUUGUUAUGAAAAAUGGGGUUUCCAGAAAUUUCUAUGUUUGUCUUCAAAGAGAGCUGCAGCUUCGUGAUGAAAAGCCCCCUCUAACAUUGGACACGUGUUCUGCUGGAGGCCGCUCUAAAUCAUGGAAGCAAAUCCAUCCAAUGGGAGAAAUCUGCCUUAACAUCCCAGAAACAUUUCCACCUGUAAAUUCUGAGAUCUUAAAAUUAGAAUCUGCCUCCAAUUAUGACUUGACAGUACAUACAAGUUCCAGGAGAGCCCCAGCAAAGCAUGCAAUAACUGCAAUGGUGUAAACUGUACUCUCUCUCAGUCUCUCUUGGAUUUUGCUGCUCCAGGGGAAGCCAGCUGCCAUCCCAUGAGGCAGCGCGGAGGAGAAUGCCGCCAACAGCCAUGUGAGUGAUGUUGGAAGCAGAUUCUCCCAGUUGAGACGUGAGAUGAGAGCAACCCUGGCCGACACCUUGACUGAAGCCUCAUGAAAGACCUUGAAUGAGAACCACCUGGCUAAGCUGCUUCUGAAAUCCUGACCCACAGAAACUACACAAUAAGAAAUGUUAUUGCUUUCAGUUUUUAGGUUUUGGAAUAACUUUGGUAUACAGCAAUAGAUAACUGAAACAUAUCACAACAUAUUACACAUCAGAGACGGGGCUAAGCAAAUGAGAUCAUUUGCUUUUCACAACAACCCCACAAAAUAAGUACUGUUAUUAUCACCCUUUUAUAUAUUAGGAAGCUGAAGUACAAGGAAAUAAAAUAGUCAAGUGUGGCCUAUCUGGCUUAUGAAUGGAGUACCUGGGGAUUUAUCAAAGAAUCUCUAAAUACGGGGUCUAGCACGUAGUAUAUGGUGCUGAAUCUGUGUUGAUUGAUUCAACAUGAUCAUGUCCAAAAAACUGCAAUAAGAGAACAAAAACACAAGUUCUAUUAUUUACGUUCAACCAGAGCAGACAUGAGUUCCCCAUGAAGACUUAAUAUACCUCUUUUAAUGCAGAGUUCACGUGAGGCUUCUGGUUUUCUUCUCUCUAUGAUUAAUGCCUCUAGGAUCACGAUUCCCCACACUCAAGAGGUAAGACAAACCUGGCAGAGAUCCAAUAGUCUCUGUCAUUUACUAUGCCUGUCUGUAGACAUGGGGUCAUGGUCUAAGAGUCGUGAGCUGAAGGCAGCCUUACUUCCUUGACUCCUUAACCUGUUAGUCCCUGCUUGUUCUUCCAAAUUCUGCAUCCUUUAUCUUUCCAUUGUUUGGGACACACAAUUCCCCUUAUAAGUCCAGUCCCUUAGUUCCCAAUCAUGACCUGAGCCAGGGUGCUUUGAGAAAGUUCUGACUCCAUGAACUUGGGCUUAUCAACAUGGUUAGUUGCCAAAGCCCAAGUAAACAUGUGCUAGAGCCUUGUAAUUGGCCUCCACCCAAAUCCCAAGGCUUUCUCUCCAUCUGGUUACUUUUAAUAACGGCUGGAAUCUAAAAAGACAAAAGAAAAAUUCUAUAUCCUCUCUAUUUACACAUUAUUUCUUAAGUUGUGGCCCCAUUUUGGCCAUGCUAGUCCACAUCUAGAAAUAAGAGACCUGUGUUCUGACCUUUUACCAUAUCUUAUGGCCAGGGCACCAGCUUAGUGAUAAAUACUUUUUCACAUUGACAGCCCACCUACUUACCUGCUAAGACUCCCAAACAUAGCCUCCUCAUUGCUGUGUUUUUCCUACAACUGUGUGAUGCUUUACUUCAUCUUAAAUCUCCAUCAUCUUCUACUUGCUUAAACAAUGUUAAUAUAAAACCCCUUGGACACUGUACUGUACCCAACACCAGAACAUUCUUUCAAUCCUGUCUGGAACAAGUAUGUAAGAUGGAUGAUUCUUGGUAUUAAUGUUAUCAUUAGUAAAAAGAAUAUGAAAAUAUUUUGUUUAUUAAAUGCCAGGAACUGUG
rnacentral:lncRNA from 1 species